UCGGGAAUCUUGGGCAAUGGGCGAAAGCCUGACCCAGCAACGCCGCGUGAGGGAUGAAGGCCCUCGGGUCGUAAACCUCUGUCGGGAGCCAAGAACGGUGACGUUUCGAAUAGGCUCGUCACCUGACGGUAGCUCCAAAGGAAGCACCGGCUAACUCCGUGCCAGCAGCCGCGGUAAUACGGAGGGUGCAAGCGUUGUUCGGAAUCACUGGGCGUAAAGCGCGUGUAGGCGGCUUGGCAAGUCGAGUGUGAAAUCCCGGGGCCCAACCCCGGAACUGCACUCGAAACUGCCUCGCUAGAGUCUCGGAGAGGAAGGCAGAAUUCCUGGUGUAGGGGUGAAAUCCGUAGAUAUCAGGAGGAAUACCAGUGGCGAAGGCGGCCUUCUGGACGAUGACUGACGCUGAGACGCGAAAGCGUGGGGAGCAAACAGGAUUAGAUACCCCCGUAGUCC
rnacentral:rRNA from 1 species